rnacentral:rRNA from 1 species
AACGAACGCUGGCGGCAUGCCUAACACAUGCAAGUCGAACGAGACCUUCGGGUCUAGUGGCGCACGGGUGCGUAACGCGUGGGAAUCUGCCCUUGGGUUCGGAAUAACAGUUGGAAACGACUGCUAAUACCGGAUGAUGACGUAAGUCCAAAGAUUUAUCGCCCAAGGAUGAGCCCGCGUAGGAUUAGCUAGUUGGUGAGGUAAAGGCUCACCAAGGCGACGAUCCUUAGCUGGUCUGAGAGGAUGAUCAGCCACACUGGGACUGAGACACGGCCCAGACUCCUACGGGAGGCAGCAGUGGGGAAUAUUGGACAAUGGGCGAAAGCCUGAUCCAGCAAUGCCGCGUGAGUGAUGAAGGCCUUAGAGUUGUAAAGCUCUUUUACCCGGGAUGAUAAUGACAGUACCGGAAGAAUAAGCACCGGCUAACUCCGUG